AGUGCAGAUAGUUCUGUUGUUUAGGAUGGAAAAGCAUGAGUAUCACGUUUCUAUAUUCAACGGACUGGUACUUGUAAAAUUUAGGCUCAUAAUCAUUUUAUUAUGCAGAGACUGGCAGAUGGUUUAAGUAGCUGGUUCCGGAGGCAAAAGCUAACAGGUGCAGCUGGGGAGCGCUUGAAGGAAGCACGCAAUAUCAACCGACCACUCUCACAACUCGGAUCGGAAUGAUGUUGCUCAUCUGAAAGAAGGCAACAUCAUGUGCUUGAAGACUUGUAGAGUAUGGAGAGUGAAUGGUCAAAUUUGAGGAAUCGUAUCUGCUGGCUUUGUAGUCCAAACAGGUUGUCUGGCUAACUUUCUUUUUCUCAUUUUCAACCAAUUAGUAUAGCUGUCAUGUUUUUUGAAUUCCUUGCCAUUGUUGAGUAGUAACUUGGCAUUUGUUUAUUAAAAGGUUUUAAUUAAGAUUAUGGUGUUCAUAACUUUGUAGUCA